rnacentral:rRNA from 1 species
AGUGAACGCUGGCGGCAUGCCUAACACAUGCAAGUCGAACGGCAGCACAGUAAGAGUUUGCUCUUACGGGUGGCGAGUGGCGGACGGGUGAGGAAUACAUCGGAAUCUUCUUUUUCGUGGGGGAUAACGUAGGGAAAGCUACGCUAAUACCGCAUAUGAUCUACGGGUGAAAGCAAGGGAUCUUCGGGCCUUGCGUGAUUGUAUUAGCUGAUGUCGGAUUAGCUAGUUGGCUGGGUAAAGGCCCACCAAGGCGACGAUGCGUAGCUGGUCUGAGAGGAUGAUCGGCCACACUGGAACUGAGACACGGUCCAGACUCCUACGGGAGGCAGCAGUAGGGAAUAUUGGGCAAUGGGCGCAAGCCUGAUCCAGCCAUACCGCGUGGGUGAAGAAGGCCUUCGGGUUGUAAAGCCCUUUUGUUGGGAAAGAAAAGCUGCAGAUUAGGACGCCGCUGUUCUGACGGUACCCAAUGAAUAAGCACCGGCUAACUACGUG